rnacentral:lncRNA from 1 species
CUUUCAACGCCACCUGAACUGGUGUUAACGAGUUUCAGGCCCGUCCCCGUCCCCGUCCCCGUCCCCACCCCUGGGGACGGGGGGGGGGCAAGAGGGGUUGAAGGUUGCGCUGAGUAGCCAACGGCCAAUGACCGCAAUCGACUAUGCCCAGGCGAUGGAGUCUCCGUCAGACUGCGAAAGAACGGUGCUCAGACAGCUGCUGCGUUGGCGAACACGUGGAGAGCUGCCACCCUGUUCAUGGGAAAAAGCCACUUGAAUUUUGAACUGUGUUUUAAGAACCAUACAUAUUCCUCAAGUCAAGGACAGGAUCGCAUGAACAACUAAGUGAGCAUUGAAGAAAACCUUGGAAGUCCUUGAGCAGAGCAGGAGGAACACCGUGACACCAAGCCAAAAGCAUUGAGGAACUCGUGGAUGUGCACGAGCAAGCUCACAGAGUAAAGAUUCCCAGUGUUUUCAACAAACGAGGAA